rnacentral:rRNA from 1 species
ACUCCUACGGGAGGCAGCAGUGGGAAGUAUUGCACAAUGGGCGCAAGCCUGAUGCAGCCAUGCCGCGUGUAUGAAGAAGGCCUUGGGUUGUAAAGUACUUUCAGUGUGAGGAAGGCGGCGUCGUUAAUAGCGGCGUUGUUUGACGUUAGCGACAGAAGAAGCACCGGCUAACUCCGUGCCAGCAGCCGCGGUAAUACGGAGGGUGCGAGCGUUAAUCGGAAUUACUGGGCGUAAAGCGCAUGCAGGUGGUUUGUUAAGUCAGAUGUGAAAGCCCGGGGCUCAACCUCGGAAUUGCAUUUGAAACUGGCAGACUAGAGUACUGUAGAGGGGGUAGAAUUUCAGGUGUAGCGGUGAAAUGCGUAGAGAUCUGAAGGAAUACCGGUGGCGAAGGCGGCCCCCUGGACAGAUACUGACACUCAGAUGCGAAAGCGUGGGAGCAAACAGGAUUAGAUACCCCUGGUAGCGACUGA